rnacentral:rRNA from 1 species
AACGAACGCUGGCGGCAUGCCUAACACAUGCAAGUCGAACGAAGCCUUCGGGCUUAGUGGCGCACGGGUGCGUAACGCGUGGGAAUCUGCCCCUUGCUUCGGAAUAACAGUUAGAAAUGACUGCUAAUACCGGAUGAAGUCUUCGGACCAAAGAUUUAUCGGCAAGGGAUGAGCCCGCGUAGGAUUAGGUAGUUGGUGGGGUAAAGGCCUACCAAGCCGACGAUCCUUAGCUGGUCGGAGAGGAUGAUCAGCCACACUGGGACUGAGACACGGCCCAGACUCGUACGGGAGGGAGCAGUGGGGAAUAUUGGAGAAUGGACGCAAGUCUGAUCCAGCAAUGCCGGGUGAGUGAUGAAGGGCGUAGGGUUGUAAAGCUCUUUUACCAGGGAUGAUAAUGACAGUACCUGGAGAAUAAGCGCCGGCUAACUCCGUG